AUGGACCUUCGAGAAAGUAUGGUCACUGAAAUGAUCCAAGGGGAUGACAGAUCAAAAUGGUUAUCACAUAGCAACCAUAACAUAAAAUGCUUCGCAGAGAGCGAGAUAAGAAGAAUUACCAGCAACUACGAAACUAUCAUUGGAAACGGCGGCUUUGGAGAAGUUUACAAAGGUGUUAUCCAAGAUGGAAGAAUAGUUGCAGUCAAGAGAUUUAUGUGUAAUGUAGAAGAAAAUUUUGCCAAAGAGCUGAAAGUACACUGUGAAAUCAACCACAAGAAUGUAGUUAGGCUCAUAGGCUACUGUGCCGAGGAAAAUGCCCUAAUGAUAGUCAGUGAGUAUAUAUCUAAAGGGAACCUUAGCGAUAUUCUUCACCAUGAAUGCAUUCCCAUCACGUUGGAUACACGACUGAGGAUUGCGGUGGAGUGUUCAGAGGCAUUGUGUUACAUGCAUUCACAAAUGUAUACUCAGGUCAUUCAUGGUGAUAUCAAACCUGCCAAUAUACGAUUAGAUGACAACUUCAAUGCAAAAAUAUCUAACUUUGGAAUAUCAAGACUUGUCAACACAGGCUCGACCCUUUUCACUGAUCAUGUAAUAGGGAGCAUAGGUUACAUGGACCCUUUGUUUGCUCGCAGCGGGCGUCUCACCUCGAAGAGUGAUGUUUACAGUUUCGGGAUCGUCCUGGUUGAAUUGAUUACAAAGAAAAAGGCAGCGAUAAGAAAUGGGGAGACAGGCAUAGUUGAAUGUUUCACCCAAGCUCUUGCAACAGGGAAGAGAAAGGUGAGACAGCUGUUCGAUGUUGAAAUCUCAAGCCAGAACAACAUGAAGGUUCUUGAAGGGGUUGCGAAGCUAGCAGGACAAUGCUUGAGGAUGGAAAUGGAUCAACGCCCUGAUAUGAGAGAUGUGGCAGAACGUCUUCUGGCACUUAGGAAAACUCAAGUUCAAGGAAAACAAACACUAACUACUUUUCCUUGGGCGUGGAGGAGCAAGCCAGCAGCUCAAAACAACUUGCAAUCUUCUAGCCCAGUCAUGCCACAAUCUUUGCCAUCCAACUUGUGCCGCCAUUUCUCACUUAAAGAGUUGAAAUCCACGACAAGAGACUUUGAUGAGUCACACGUUGUUGGCCAGGCUGGAUCUGGUUGGGUUUACUAUGGAGUGAUUGAUGGGGGAGCAACCAAGGUGGUUAUCAAACGUGGCACAGUAGGGCAGGAUGUGAGUAAGUUCCUCACAAAGAUAGCGAUGAUAGCAAAGCUACGCCACCUUCAUCUUGUAUCAUUGGUCGGUUACUGCAAAGUAGAAAACGUGGUGAUGCUGAUCUAUGACUACAUGGCUGGUGGCACCCUGCGUGAGAACCUUUACGCUAACAACACCAAGAAGCGACUGCUUACUUGGAGUCAGUGUCUAGGCGUCUGCAUUGGUGCUGCUCGUGCCCUGCGUUACCUUCACGAGUGUUCCAUCAUCCCUUUUGUUGUGUCAACAACGAACAUUCUCCUAGAUGAGAGAUUGGUCGGCAAGGUUUCAAGUGCAGUCUCGCUCCAGCAGGAUAACACAGUUACGAUUUAUUGGAGAUAUGGUUUUAUUGAUCCUGAAUUUUACCGCACCGGGGAACUCACAGAGAAAUCCAAUGUGUAUUCUUUUGGUGUUGUGCUGUUUGAGGUUUUGUGUGCUCGGGCUGCCUGGGAUCGUAGUCUUCCAAGGAGACAAGCUCACUUGGUACAAUGUGCCCUUAAUUGCCAGAAAAAGGGCAUUCUUGAUCUGAUUGUUGAUCCCUAUCUUGAAGGGAAGAUUUCUCCAUGGUGCUUCAAGAAAUUUGUGGAGAUUGCUGAGAAAUGUGUUAGUGAUCGUGGUAUCGAUCGCCCUACAAUGCAAGAAGUGCUUGAGAACUUGGAGUUGUGCCUUGCAGACCAAAGCAGAAGCCUUGGUGAUGAGAUGCCAGACGAUGCUGACGCUGAUGGUCCUUCAAGGAGAGAACGUCGGCUGAACCUGGAGAUGUACCUUGCAGAAGACGAUGAUUCCACCCAAUGA
rnacentral:rRNA from 1 species